AGAGUUUGAUUAUGGCUCAGGAUGAACGCUGGCGGCGUGCCUAAUACAUGCAAGUCGAACGAGGUAGCAAUACCGAGUGGCGAACGGGUGAGUAACACGUAGGUAACCUGCCCUUAAGCUUGGGAUACCCAGAGGAAACUUGGCUAAUACCGGAUAACAACAGAGAAGGCAUCUUCUUUGCUUGAAAGGCCCCUUCAAGGGUCACUUAAGGAUGGACCUGCGGCGCAUUAGCUAGUUGGUGAGAUAACAGCCCACCAAGGCGAGGAUGCGUAGCCGAACUGAGAGGUUGAUCGGCCACAUUGGAACUGAGACACGGUCCAAACUCCUACGGGAGGCAGCAGUAAGGAGUUUUCGGCAAUGGGGGAAACCCUGACCGAGCAACGCCGCGUGAGCGAUGACGGUCCUUUGGAAUUGUAAAGCUCUGUUGUAAGCCAUGAAUGACAGCUUGAGGAAAUGCAAGUUGUUUGACGACAGCUUACCAGAAAGCCACGGCUAACUACGUGCCAGCCGCGGC
rnacentral:rRNA from 1 species